AAUGAACGCUGGCGGGAGGCCUAACACAUGCAAGCCGAACGGUACUUGUUGGAAUACUUGUCGUUCUUUGAUGAUGAGAGCGGCAUAGGGGAGUCAAGCUUGUGAGUCUUCUGCACUUAUGGGGAUGAUUACCGAAAAAUGUCUGUAUUACUACCCUAUAUCAUAUGAUAUGGCUGCGUUACCUAUCUGGCCCUUCGGAUAAUAUGGAUGACCAUGCGCAUUAUUAGCUGGUUGAGGUAAGUGCUCGCUUACCCGAGCAUCUAUCUUUGGGGGGACAGAAAGAGUGAUCCCCCUGACUGUGACUGACACACCGCACUCACUCCUAAGGGAGGCAUGAGUGAAUGAAUAUUGGAGAAUGCGUGGAAGCCUGAUCCAUGCCUCCCGCGUGAAGGACGACUGCCCUAUGGGUUGUUCUCUGCUUUUAUAUGAGGGUAUUCCUACUCUCAUGAUAGUAGAUGAACGUACUAUAUGAAUAAACACCCGGUUACUUCCUGGCCACCACCCCGGUAAUACCGAAGGUGGCAACCUUAUCUCGAUUUAUUGGGUUUAAAGGGUCCCUAAGUGGGCUGAUUAAUCGACGUGGAAAUCCUGCAGCUUAACUGUGGAACUGCCGUUGAUACUGUUAUCCCUGAAUGACUUUGAGGUGGCUGGAAUAUCUAGUGUAGCGGUGAAAUGCAUAGAUAUUACUUAGAACACCAAUUGCGAAGGCAGGCCCUUGAGAUUGUACUGACGCUCAUGUACGAAAGCGUGGGGAGCAAACAGGAUUAGAUACCCUGGUAGUCCACGCUGUAAACGAUGCUAACUCGUUUGUGGAUCUAUGAAUCUGACACUCAUCGAUAGUGAUAUAUUUCCCCCCUGUGGAGUACACUCGCGCGAGGGAAACUCUCAGGAGUUGACGGGGGCCCCCACACGCGGUGGAUUACGUGGGUUAAUUCUAUGAUCCGCGAGGAACCUUACCCCUACUCUUGUGGUACUUAACACCUGCCAAAAUACGGUUGUCGUCUGACAAAUCUCUAAGAGCUGCGUGGUUGUCCUCACCUCAUGCCGUGAGGUGUUAUGUUAAGUUCUGUCACGAGCGCAACCCCUGUCACUAGUUGUCAUCAUUCCGAUGGGGACUCUAACGAGACUGACUGCGCCAGUGAUGAACAAGGUGGGGAUGACGUCAAGUCAUCACGGCCCUUACGUGUAGGGCCACACACGUGAUACAAUGGCCAUUACAGAGGGAGGCUACUAUGUGAAUAGGUGCGAAUCUCACAAAGUGGUUUCAGGUCGGGAUGGAGACUGCCACUUGGAUUCCAGGAAGUGGGAUUGGUUGGUAUUGGCCAUCAAGCAUGGCGCGGUGAAUACGUUCCCGGGCCU
rnacentral:rRNA from 1 species